rnacentral:rRNA from 1 species
UUACCUUAAGAUAGCACGUUGAAUACACCAGUUCCUGAUGGAUCACUGAAGUUAAGCAACGCUACACGUAGUUGGUAUUCGAAUGGGAGUCCAUCCGUGUAAUAGCGUGUUACCGGCCC